rnacentral:rRNA from 1 species
CACGCCGUAAACGAUGGAUACUAGGUGUGGGGGGACUAACCCCUCCCGUGCCGCAGUUAACACAAUAAGUAUCCCACCUGGGGAGUACGAUCGCAAGAUUGAAACUCAAAGGAAUUGACGGGGGCCCGCACAAGCAGUGGAGUAUGUUGUUUAAUUCGAAGCAACGCGAAGAACCUUACCAGGGCUUGACAUCCUACUAACGAAGCAGAGAUGCAUUAGGUGCCCUUCGGGGAAAGUAGAGACAGGUGG